GACAUAUUGUGGGGGUUUUAUUAUUUCAAAAGACCCCAACAGCUCGUUCUGCCAGGAAUCGGCGCACGCCCUCGCCGUCCAAGGCCACCCAACCGCGCUCGCAGCUGCACACGUGCAGAGACUGGGGAAAAAAAGACUUGGCGCACGGACGCAAAAUCAGCCGUCACAUCCGUCCCCGGGGACCUUUCUUUUUGUUAAAAAGCCCUUCGGCACGACAUCGACAUCGACAUCGACAUAUUCCCCCACCCCCGGCCAUUUUAAACGGUCCUCGUGCUGGGUCUCGGCAGGGACAAGAGUGGACCGGAACGGCGCGCGUAAUUGUACGGAUGUUUUCGAGCGAGUUUGGCCGCCGCGCGUAGCAAACGAGCGUCUGUCCCCCGCGGAGACGCGGAGCUACGCGAGGAAUCCCGUGGCAAGACCUCAGCGUCAGCGGCUCUUAAAGAUGACGCAGGCGCAGGUGUGCCGCAGGCUCAGAGCGCAUCACGACCAAUUAUGAUGCUGCCACCCACCUGAGGUGCUUCACCCCCGGAGUAACACGUCUGGAACAUUUCAACUAUCAGAACGUGGAAUGACUCGGGCCAGGGAAACUGCACGUCCCACUCGGGACCAGCUGGUUCGUCCAUCCAUCCCUCCCAGACUUCCUUCAGCAUUAUUUAACUGGUUCAUUGUUCAGGUUUAUUAUUGUACUGUGUAUGUGGGGAGAUGUUGCUAUUCAGGUUGGUUUCAUUCUCCAUGUUCUCCAGUUCGUUAAGAUGCAACUGUAGCUUCUCUGCUGCAGAUGGACCUUGCUGAAAUGUUCUGUCUUGGAAGACCUCAGCAUAAAUAGUCAAUUUUUAUUUAGGGACCCGCUGAUGGAUUGCAAGCCUGCAAUUUAUAUACUUUUUCCCAAUCAAUCAAUCAAUCAAUCAAUCUCUCUCUCUCUCUCUCUCUCUCUCUCUCUCUCUCUCUCUCUCUCUCUCACACACACACACACACACACACUCUGACCAAACACUAUAUAAGUAUUUUGCAAGUGAGUUCCAUUCUGCUGGCCUAGCAAUGACUGCAUUAGCCAGUUCACUAUAACACCUAUUCGCGAACCUACCUGGCCAGGACAACUGACUUUGGCCCAUUUGUCCUGCCAGGAAUGGAAUAUUCUGGAAGUGAUUACAUGUUUUUACUGCAGGACUUUAGAUGCGCAAGACAAUGAGGGCCAAGGGGAAUUCGUGAUUUAAAUAGCCAUCAUUUUUGUUUGAUUCACAUUCGGCUUUAGAGGACUUCAUUUAUAUGUGAUUUGUUUCUACACAGAAAUCCUGGACGUGCGCUUUUGUUUCUUCUCCUUCAGAAUGCCCUCAGAUGGGAACAUCUCACCAAUCUCCUUGUCUUCUUCCAUCUUAGCUGUUUAUUGGCAGCUUGUCACUAUUACGACUAUGUCUUCAUUUCUUUUGCAUUUUAUGCCCCUCGAUGUCACUCGUAGUCUCUUUGACAGGGCAGUUCAUCUGGAAGACGUGUGUGUGUGUGUGUGUGUGUGUGUGUGUGUGUGAGAGAGAGAGAGAGCUGCCUGUAACAGCAUCUCCCUUAUCCCCUCGUGGUGAGUAGAGGACUGUGUAACUGAUAGACAUCUUUAGCUGCACCAAUGCUGUGUCAUUACCCCUGCAUCUACAAAACACCAUGUUCCUGUGGAUCUACUGCACCGCUGAGACCACGUCCUAACGUCCUUAAUGCAGCUAAAUGAAGAGUCUUUGUCCCAGAUUUGUAGGCAGGCUUCCUCAGGGUUUGAAUUACCCUCUCCAAAAAGGCUACACCUUCAGGAGCAGAGGUGGACACCUCUGUGUUUGAGAGUCCGACACCAGACACCAUAAGAGCCAGAGCCAACAUUAUUUUAUGCUCAUGUGAAUAGGGAUUUACAAACUAGGGCUUAUAAACUUUUAAACUACUAAACCACAAGAAAAAUCCAGAAGCAAUAUUUAACCAGGAGUCUAGUAUGUUCACGCAAGCCGAACGAUAACAGAUUUAAGAGAUUAACACACCUGCGUCACGGACGGAACACCCAUACCUGCGCUGAUUCCGCUGCGUUUUGAGGUCACCGUUCUGAGGUCAGCGGUCUUCGGCUUGCCGAUUGGGUCUUGCAUGAUGACAUACAGGGAAAUAGGUUGAGCUCCAUCCGAGGAUUGGCUUACAGGGUUCGAUAAUAUGGUGGUCCUAAGCGUGACUCAGGGACCAGAAGGGCGAGAUGAUUUCAUUAAUCACAUGACCUCCUCACCUUGGAAAUUCUGUCAGGCACUGGUGUGCUCACUUAAUCUGCUACUCAGCAGUGUAACUCAGCAUGGGGGAAUUAUAUAUUUACACACACACACACACACACAUAUAGGCGGACAGCUGCUUCUCACGCACAUCAACAUUCACAUUACAGGAUUGUUGCUUCCAUUUUAUUGGGCAAAGCUCAUUUGACUCUGUCAGUUUGGACUGUCCAGGGUCAGUUGGAUAUGCGAGUGUGUACGUUCCAGCUCCUUUCUCACCCCACGCGGCUCCGCCUCUGGCUGCCUACCCCAACAAUUAGGUGAGAAACAAAUCGCUGCAAUUUUAAGCUCAUUCCUUUAAAAACACACACGCACCUUUUCCGGGCAAGGUAUAUUAAGUUCUUAAUGUAUCCACUUAAUCCAGACACGAUGUCCAUUACAGUAAUGGCCUGUUAAAUGCUUUAUAUUCAUAUUAACUCCCCCACCCCUCCCUGGCCGCCGCCCCAAAACCCUUUAGCAAACUUUAAUUAUUCACGAACAUGAAUGUUUUAGUGAAUCCCGCAGUCUGUUACAGGUGUGAGUGAUACAGGGCUCGACAGCCGAGCCACCGGCUCUUUACCAGCCAAGCAGCAAGAAAACACAGUCCUGCUGCCAUGAAUAAAACCGCCAAAGCCGUCCGGACACAAACGCCGGAGCACCGGGAGUUGGGGCCAAUCCAUUAGCCUCGAUCGAAUAGGAGGCGGGGGCUGGCCAGGCCACUGGACUGGAUCUGAGCCCGGGGAUUGCGCCGCUCCCGCUCUGAGCUCAAGCACGCCGUGUGCGCAGAUAAAACGCAAAACAGACCGCGAGGGCUCUUUGGAGCGUCUUCGCUCCGAGCGGGCUUUUUGAGGGAAAUCAAUUAUUAAUACACGCGAUCACUUCCCUGUGGCAGAGGUGGAGAGGAUCGGAGGAUCGGAGCCAACCCACCAUCCACCCUGCUGCUACUGUAUUAAAUAACACUUCAUUACUCCAAGAAAAAAAAAAUAACAGAAGCUUUUCAUUAAGUGCAGGAGCUGUUAUUUCAUUUUUGUUUCCUGAAACUCUCCUAUCAUACUUCUAAGUCUCUGACAUGUGACCUCUGGUGUGAUCUUCAGGCUCCGUAAGCAUGCUUUCUUCAAUGACCCCGACACCUUCCGCUCAACCGCACGGCCACACGAUCCAAUCGUGCAACGGUCUAACCUCAACAUGGGCCUGUUUGGCUCACAGUGUGGCACUGAACCCCAGCACCCUUCAGCUUAGCCGAAGAGCCGUCUCGCCCUCGUCUUCCUAAAGCCAGUCUUGUUUAUUUGUCUCGGAUUCAAAGAACCAUGAAACAGGGUGGAAGAUGGAGAACGCUGUCUUCUUCUACAAGGAUUUUCUUUGUCCUGAAAAGACCAAGCAAGUGUCAAAGCUCAGACAGUGCAGGUUUAACUGGAGUGCUCUGAGAGACACACCAAGAACACCUGGGGUUUGUAGUCCUCGCCGCGUCCAUUCAGAGACCGGCCUCGCUGCGGAACACCCAGCGGGCACGGUCAGCGGGACAGCUCUCGGACAGACCACCAGCGGAGACCGAUCCAGAGCCGCGUUCUGGAACUCCGCCCGCGUCCCGUCAGGACAGGGACACCGCAGCAGGCUCGCAGUGUUGUGAAGAACAGGGGGGUUGAUUCCGUGAGGUGUCACCACAGGACACCCCCCCUGUACCUGUGCAGGUAGCUAGCUAGCUAAGUUAGUGAUCCACACAAGGUGGUUAAUAGUGAACACAACAAAAAACACCUGGCAAGUGACAGUGACAGUCUCCCACUAGUUUCCCACUAUAUUAGGUACUUAUUUCCAGUGGUGGGUUUCAUCCAGGUUUUUUGAUGUUAGCUAGUAGCGUUGAGGACUUGCUGGCUUUUCCAUGACACGGGUGUAUCUGACAGCGUGAGGAGGACGACUGUAAAUACUAUUAAUCCAGCACAGAUUAAUCUUCCCAAACUUUAGCAACCCCCACACCAGUCAAGGGGCUCAACCCCCCUCCAGAUAUAUAAUCAUUGUACAACAAUCCCAAAGUCGCCAUUUGAUUAGCCGAGAAGCAUUCCAACACUGCUAGCUAAUAUUUGUGGUAACGACACAGGGUUUUUUCACACCAAAUAUGUAUCAUACACAGUCUGUAUAUACUGACCUUGCUACUACCUUUACGCACCGAAUCCUUACAUGGUUUCUGGCCUACUUGCGCAUAUACAAAAUGGGAAAUGAAUACAGUGGGUGACUUUCAUGUCAAAGUCCAAUUUAUUUAUAUAUUUUACAACUGAUUCUGAAUCUGCUAUUACGUUGAAAGCAUUUAUAGUCGACUGCCGUAACAGCAGUUAGAGAAACACACUUAGUUUUUUUUUUGCUAACUGCACAAUGAACUGAGGUGCAGUUUGUGAACUAACAUGCACAAAUAACAGAAGAAACCGAAUAAACAACUCAAUUCCAUAUUUUAAUUCUUAAUACAUUUUACUGUUAGUCAUUUGCCUCCCCCUUCAUCUUUGUUUAUUUUCACAUUGUAUUUCAAAUUAACUUUUCCUUGGCAGUCCUAUAUAAACCACGUGGCUUUUGUACCACGUUAGGCAGGCAAUUGUUACUGUUGCAUAGUAACAAGUUAUUUAUGGCGUAAGAAAUAGCCAAUAUUAAAUUGUUAUUAAAACAUAUGGGCUUCCUUUCUUUGAUGUGUUUAUUUUGUACAACUACUGAAUAAAAACUA